AUUGAACGCUGGCGGCAGGCCUAACACAUGCAAGUCGAGCGGAGCGGCGGACGGGUGAGUAAUGCCUGGGAAUCUGCCUGGUCGUGGGGGAUAACGUCCGGAAACGGGCGCUAAUACCGCAUACUAUCAGAUGAGCCUAGGUCGGAUUGGCUAGUUGGUGGGGUAAAGGCCUACCAAGGCGACGAUCCGUAACUGGGCUGAGAGGCUGAGCAGUCACACUGGAACUGAGACACGGUGCAGACUCCUACAGUAGGCAGCAGGGGGGAAUAUUGGGCAAUGGGCGAAAGCCUGAACCAGCCAUGCCGCGAGUGUGAAGAAGGUAUUCGGAUUGUAAAGCACUUUAAGUUGUGAGGCGUUAGCAACAGAAGAAGCACCGGCUAACUACGUGCCAGCAGCCGCGGUAAUAC
rnacentral:rRNA from 1 species